GCAUCCCUGUGCCCCGCGGGGUCCGAGGCCCUCUCCGCAGACCCCCGCCCUCAACUUCUUACCCCGGUUUGGACAAAAAGCUGCCCCGCUCUUUGUCCCCGGCCCAGGCCAUGGCGGGCUGGGGCGCGGGAGGGUGGGCGCCGCGGGCCCGGGAGCAGGGUGGAGCGCCGCGCGGGGCCGGGGCCGGGGCCGGUGCGGGCUGCCACGCCGGAGUCUGCAGCGUGCGAGUGAGAAGUGAGCGCUCGGCGCGGGGCGAGCAGGUGCCCGAGGCGCCGAGAGCGCGAGAGCAAGCCGGAGCGGCGGCAGCACUAAACACAGAGUUCAGAGUCCAUUGGAAAGAUGGCCGAGCAUGAUCAGCAUGAACAGGCCUAAGAUGGAGUCCAGGCCCUAUGAAUUCCUCCUUCAUUCUUUCAUAAUGUUAGUUGCUGUUUUGUUCAAAUAGCAAAUUGAAUGAUCACAGCUUUUAAGGUUCACAUUUUCACUACAGUUUGUGAACAUUCUCUCUUAUCCACUGAAUUGAAAAUUG
ensembl:lncRNA